UAAACGGAUGCGACGACGAUCGGCUGGU
rnacentral:sRNA from 1 species